UAGAGCAUCUGACUGUUAAUCAGAGGGUCCUUGGUUCGAGCCCAAGAGGGGGAG
rnacentral:tRNA from 1 species